UUGGUCUCCUUUAAAAAAUGUUCUGGUAGGCGCAUGUCGUCUUUAGCUUUAUAUAGGGGUUUUGCAGCCAAAGGAAAAUCAUGUCGGACAAAAGUCUCUUUGUAUUAGGGAAGGAAUAGCUCAAAAGUAAUCGAGAGAAGGCAUCUGAACUUCAGACUCCCCAGCCUUCCUGUCCGCCACAACCGUCUGAAGGCCGAAACGCAGCGCUCCCGUGUAGCGUGAAGCUGGGGUGAUGAGCGGCGAAUUCAAAGCGGCAGUUGAUCCCGGGGAGCAGCCGGACUCACCUCGCAGUCCCGGGUUACCCACCGUCUCUCCGGCUGUGUCCUGAAAAGAAGCGCUUCCUCUCCCGGGGCUCCAGACUGCGGACCGCCUGAGCGAUGUUCAGUACUGGAUAUUAACAGCCAGCUGGGUUAUUCCUAUGCGGUUUCCUCUUGUUUAGUUAUUGCAAUAAACUCGUGUCCUUGGAUUGCUUUUGAAA